CCGCAGGGGUGCCCUGACGGUAGCGGCUCCUCUGGCCGGUGAGGCAGCGCUGAGGAUGGACGCUCCUGGUCAGGCAGUGGGUCCUGUGAACGGCACUGAUCCUGUUUGCUUCCCAAUUCUGCCACCUGCUCCUCGUCCGCCACCAGAUCCUCCUCCUUCCAAGUUGUCUGUUGAGAAGGUGGAGGGAGAAGUGCUGGGAAAGGUUAAAAUUCGAAGCGAUUUUGUUCAGAGUGGGGAAGGAAGAUAAGGGCAGGGACUGGUGGUGUGGGGGUUCACUGCUGAGUGUGCAGCCAGAGCGGAGGAACUGCAGGACGAACCCUCAGGGGUGGUGGAUAGCCUGGUACAAGAGACAAGUGGAAGCAUGAGACCCUUGUAGAUACUGGAACUCAUCUGUGACAAAGAGAUCUGCACUCCUGCAUGCGUGAGAAGCAAACUGGAGCAACAGCUUGAAGAAUGGAAGUGAACUGGACUUAGUUGCCCCACUUGGCUGCCCCAGGGGUGCAGACACGCCACUGGAGACGACUGUGGACUGAGCCAGAUUGUGCCGAGAAGGACUCUAAGCAUGGAAGUCAGCAGAUGCCUUGUGCAAAUCUGAGAGUCUACAGAAUAUUAUUAGAACGUGUGAAGCAGUAUGCCAAGUGCCAUCCUCUGAUUUUCUCCUCUCUCUCCUAAAUGCAGAUCUAAAAGGAGGCCUGUGCUGCACAAAGGCUGCUCAGUGGAGCCCCUCAGAGAAGGAGGUAGAUGUGGUUUCCC